rnacentral:rRNA from 1 species
GAUGAACGCUGGCGGCGUGCCUAAUACAUGCAAGUCGAGCGAACAGACGAGGAGCUUGCUCCUCUGACGUUAGCGGCGGACGGGUGAGUAACACGUGGAUAACCUACCUAUAAGACUGGGAUAACUUCGGGAAACCGGAGCUAAUACCGGAUAAUAUAUUGAACCGCAUGGUUCAAUAGUGAAAGACGGUUUUGCUGUCACUUAUAGAUGGAUCCGCGCCGCAUUAGCUAGUUGGUAAGGUAACGGCUUACCAAGGCGACGAUGCGUAGCCGACGUGAGAGGGUGAUAGGCCACACUGGAACUGAGACACGGUCCAGACUCCUACGGGAGGCAGCAGUAGGGAAUCUUCCGCAAUGGGCGAAAGCCUGACGGAGCAACGCCGCGUGAGUGAUGAAGGUCUUCGGAUCGUAAAACUCUGUUAUUAGGGAAGAACAAAUGUGUAAGUAACUAUGCACGUCUUGACGGUACCUAAUCAGAAAGCCACGGCUAACUACGUG